UACGUAGGGGGGCGAGCGUUGUCCGGAUUUAUUGGGCGUAAAGAGCGUGUAGGCGGCCAGGUAGGUCUGCUGUGAAAACUCGAGGCUCAACCUCGAGACGUCGGCGGAAACCAUCUGGCUAGAGUCCGGAAGAGGAGAGUGGAAUUCCUGGUGUAGCGGUGAAAUGCGCAGAUAUCAGGAAGAACACCCGUGGCGAAGGCGGCUCUCUGGGACGGGUACUGACGCUGAGACGCGAAAGCGUGGGGAGCGAACAGG
rnacentral:rRNA from 1 species